rnacentral:rRNA from 1 species
GAUGAACGCUGGCGGCGUGCCUAAUACAUGCAAGUCGAGCGAACGGACGAGAAGCUUGCUUCUCUGAUGUUAGCGGCGGACGGGUGAGUAACACGUGGAUCACCUACCUAUAAUACUGGGAUAACUUCGGGAAACCGGAGCUAAUACCGGAUAAUAUUUUGAACCGCAUGGUUCAAAAGUGCAAGACGGCCUUGCUGUCACUUAUAGAUGGAUCCGCGCUGCAUUAGCUAGUUGGUAAGGUAACGGCUUACCAAGGCAACGAUGCAUAGCCGACCUGAGAGGGUGAUCAGCCACACUGGAACUGAGACACGGUCCAGACUCCUACGGGAGGCAGCAGUAGGGAAUCUUCCGCAAUGGGCGAAAGCCUGACGGAGCAACGCCGCGUGAGUGAUGAAGGUCUUCGGAUCGUAAAACUCUGUUAUUAGGGAAGAACAUAUGUGUAAGUAACUGUGCACAUCUUGACGGUACCUAAUCAGAAAGCCACGGCUAACUACGUG